UACGUAGGGUGCAAGCGUUGUCCGGAAUUAUUGGGCGUAAAGAGCUCGUAGGCGGUUUGUCGCGUCUGCUGUGAAAACUCGGGGCUUAACCCCGGGCCUGCAGUGGGUACGGGCAGACUAGAGUGCGGUAGGGGAGACUGGAAUUCCUGGUGUAGCGGUGAAGUGCGCAGAUAUCAGGAGGAACACCGGCGGCGAAGGCGGGUCUCUGGGCCGUAACUGACGCUGAGGAGCGAAAGCGUGGGGAGCGAACAGG
rnacentral:rRNA from 1 species